AGGAUGAACGCUGGCGGCGUGCCUAAUACAUGCAAGUCGAGCGCCCCUUUAAGAGGUGACAAUCAUUUGAUUGUCGGUUCCUAUGGGGAGCGGCGGACGGCUGAGUAACGCGUGGGAACGUGCCCCAAAGUGAGGGAUAAGCACCGGAAACGGUGUCUAAUACCGCAUAUGAUC
rnacentral:rRNA from 1 species